AUGAACAAGGCCAGUGGAGGUGAUGGCAUUCCAGUUGAGCUAUUUCAAAUCCUAAAAGAUGAUGCUGUGAAAGUGCUGCACUCAAUAUGCCAGCGAAGUUGGAAAACUAAGCAGUGGCCACAGGACUGGAAAAGGUCAGUUUUCAUUCCAAUUCCAAAGAAAGGCAAUGUCAAAAAAUGCUCAAACUACCGCACAAUUGCACUCAUCUCACACACUAGUAAAGUAAUGCUCAAAAUCCUCCAAGCCAGGCUUCAGCAAUAUGUGAACCGUGAACUCCCUGAUGUUCAAGCUGGUUUUAGAAAAGGCAGAGGAACCAGAGAUCAAAUUGCCAACAUCCGCUGGAUCAUGGAAAAAGCAAGAGAGUUCCAGAAAAACAUCUAUUUCUGCUUUAUUGACUAUGCCAAAGCCUUUGACUGUGUGGAUCACAAUAAACUGGGGAAAAUUCUGAGAGACAUGGGAAUACCAGACCACCUGACCUGCCUCUUGAGAAAUCUGUAUGCAGGUCAGGAAGCAACAGUUAGAACUGGACAUGGAACAACAGACUGGUUCCAAAUAGGAAAAGGAGUGUGCCAAGGCUGUAUAUUGUCACCCUGCUUAUUUAACUUCUAUGCAGAGUACAUCAUGAGAAAUGCUGGACUGGAAGAAGCACAAGCUAAAAUCAAGAUUGCCGGCAGAAAUAUCAAGAACCUCAGAUAUGCAGAUGACACCACCCUUAUAGCAGAAAGUGAAGAGGAACUAAAAAGCCUCUUGAUGAAAGUGAAAGAGGAGAGUGAAAAAGUUGGCUUAAAGCUCAACAUUCAGAAAACGAAGAUCUUGGCAUCCAGUCCCAUCACUUCUUGGGAAAUAGAUGGGGAAACAGUGGAAACAGUGUCAGACUUUAUUUUUUUGGGCUCCAAAAUCACUGCAGAUGGUGAUUGCAGCCAUGAAAUUAAAAGACGCUUACUCCUUGGAAGGAAAGUUAUGAUCAACCUAAAUAGUAUAUUCAAAAGCAGAGACAUUACUUUGCCGACUAAGGUCUGUCUAGUCAAGGCUAUGGUUUUUCCAGUGGUCAUGUAUGGAUGUGAGAGUUGGACUGUGAAGAAGGCUGAGCGCCGAAGAAUUGAUGCUUUUGAACUAUGGUGUUGGAGAAGACUCUUGAGAGUCCCUUGGACUGCAAGGAGAUCCAACCAGUCCAUUCUGAAGGAGCUCAGCCCUGGGAUUUCUUUGGAGGGAAUGAUGCUGAAGCUGAAACUCCAGUACUUUGGCCACCUCAUGCGAAGAGCUGACUCACUGGAAAAGACUCUGAUGCUGGGAGGAUUGGGGGCUGGAGGAGAAGGGAACAACAGAGGAUGA
rnacentral:lncRNA from 1 species